rnacentral:rRNA from 1 species
GAGAGAGACAUGCGCGCAUAUCAAUAAGCGGAGGAAAAGAAACUAACAAGGAUUCCCUUAGUAACGGCGAGUGAAGCGGGAAGAGCUCAAAUUUGAAAUCUUCAAGGUUCUACCUUGACGAAUUAUAGUUUAUAGAAGUGUUUUCUGUUAGUGGAGUGGCGAAAGUUCUUUGGAAUAGGACAUCAUAGAGGGUGAGAAUCCCGUAUUUGGUCAUUCCUCCUAGCGUUGUGAUACACUUUCAACGAGUCGGAUUGUUUGGGAAUGCAGUCCAAAAUGGGUGGUAAAUUUCAUCUAAAGCUAAAUAUUGGCGAGAGACCGAUAGCGAACAAGUACCGUGAGGGAAAGAUGAAAAGAACUUUGAAAAGAGAGUUAAACAGUACGUGAAAUUGUCAAAAGGGAAGCGUUUGACACCAGUGUUGUUUUUCCGAAAAUCAAUUACGAAUGUUUUAGUUUUGAGGAGUUAUGACUUCAUCGGCUUGCUCCUUUCUUUAUGAAACUUUCUUAAUGCACUUUUCGGUUAACAAGUCAACAUCAAUUUCUUUUGUUGUAAAAGGGUAUGAGGAAGGUGGCUUUCUUUUCGGAGAAAGUGUUUAUAGCCUUGUGCCUCUGCAAUCGGAGAGAUUGAGGUCUGCAGCGUAGAUCCUUCGGGGUUAGAUACAUUUGUGCUAAGUUAUAGCUUUUCAUAGACAACUUGUUGACUAUGUUUAGUCUUGUAGCUUACUCGCUGACGCUAUUUUACCUACGCUUAGGAUGUUGAUAGUCACAGCGUGUAC